UGACCUCGGAUCAGGUAGGGAUACCCGCUGAACUUAAGCAUAUCAAAGCGGGAGGAAAUCAUUACCGAGUUGAUUCGGGCUCGUCCGAUCUCCACUUGUAUACCUACCUCUGUGGCUGUUGGCGGGCCCGCCGUCUUCGCGGCGCGCAUUUGGGGGGGGGGGGGCUAGUGCCCGCCACAGGACUAUCAAACCUCAGUUUAGUAAACAUUGCAUCUGAAAAAAAUAUUAAAUAAACUAAAAACUUUCAACAACGACUUUCGGGUUCUGGCAUCCAUAAAAAAGCACCGAAAUGCGCUUAGUAAUGUGAAAUAGCACAAAUCGAGAUCACGAUUUACCAAUAGCGCCUCGGAUAAUCCGGGGGGGCAGGCGCUUCGAGCGUCUUCUACUCAUACCUUCUUAUGGGGGACUCCAUUUGGGCGCCCCACACA
rnacentral:rRNA from 1 species